rnacentral:rRNA from 1 species
GGGCCCGCACAAGCGGUGGAGUAUGUGGUUUAAUUCGAUGCAACGCGAAGAACCUUACCAGGGUUUGACAUCCUGCGAAUCUCUUGGAAACGAGAGAGUGCCUUCGGGAGCGCAGUGACAGGUGGUGCAUGGCUGUCGUCAGCUCGUGUCGUGAGAUGUUGGGUUAAGUCCCGCAACGAGCGCAACCCACGUCUUUAGUUGCCAGCAUUUAGUUGGGCACUCUAGAGAGACUGCCCGUGAUAAGCGGGAGGAAGGUGUGGAUGACGUCAAGUCCUCAUGGCCCUUACGGGUUGGGCUACACACGUGCUACAAUGGUAGUGACAAUGGGCUAAUCCCAAAAAACUAUCUCAGUUCGGAUUGUCGUCUGCAACUCGACGGCAUGAAGUCGGAAUCGCUAG